rnacentral:rRNA from 1 species
AGAGUUUGAUCCUGGCUUAGGAUGAACGCUGGCGGCGUGCUUAACACAUGCAAGUCGAACGGAGCCUAGCGAGUGCUUGCACUGCGAAAGCUUAGUGGCGGACGGGUGAGUAACGCGUGGGUAACCCUGCCCUGUACUGGGGGAUAACAGUCGGAAACGACUGCUAAUACCGCAUAAGCCCACAUGACCGCAUGGUCAAGGGGGAAAAAACUCCGGUGGUACAGGAUGGACCCGCGUCUGAUUAGCUAGUUGGUGAGGUAACGGCCCACCAAGGCGACGAUCAGUAGCCGGCCUGAGAGGGUGAACGGCCACAUUGGGACUGAGACACGGCCCAAACUCCUACGGGAGGCAGCAGUGGGGAAUAUUGCACAAUGGGGGAAACCCUGAUGCAGCCGACGCCGCGUGAGCGAUGAAGUAUUUCGGUAUGUAAAGCUCUAUCAGCAGGGAAGAAAAUGACGGUACCUGACUAAGAAGCACCGGCUAAAUACGUGCCAGCCGCCGC